UACGUAGGUGGCAAGCGUUGUCCGGAAUUAUUGGGCGUAAAGCGCGCGCAGGCGGUCCUUUAAGUCUGAUGUGAAAGCCCACGGCUCAACCGUGGAGGGUCAUUGGAAACUGGGGGACUUGAGUACAGAAGAGAAGAGUGGAAUUCCUGGUGUAGCGGUGAAAUGCGCAGAUAUCAGGAGGAACACCCGUGGCGAAAGCGGCUCUCUGGGACGGUACUGACGCUGAGACGCGAAAGCGUGGGGAGCAAACAGG
rnacentral:rRNA from 1 species